rnacentral:rRNA from 1 species
CCCUUAGACGUUCUGGGCCGCACGCGCGCUACACUGACGAAGGCAACGAGCUUUCCUUUACCGAAAGGUACGGGUAAUCUUUUGAAACUUCGUCGUGCUGGGGAUAGAUCCUUGCAAUUUUUGAUCUUAAACGAGGAAUGCCUAGUAAGCGCAAGUCAUCAACUUGCGUUGAUUACGUCCCUGCCCUUUGUACACACCGCCCGUCGCUCCUACCGAUGAAUCGUCCGGUGAAGUUCACAGAGUGGCGGUUCGUGGAGUUGCUCGCGAAGUGAAAUGGACCUCACGAUUUAGAGGAAGGAGAAGUCGUAACA